AAGUAAAAUUUGGAGAAGCUUGUGCGCUAGCAUCCAAAAUUUUCUAAGAAGAGUUGAAAGAACUAAAACACUAUAAAAAGCUUGUAGAACAAAUCCAUCAUAUAUAGUGAAGCAUUAUUAUCUGUAUCAACCUAUAGGAUGAAACUUUUGAGAAUUCCUACCUUUAGACCAAAUUCAUUACUUCACCAAUCAUUUAAUGGCUU
rnacentral:lncRNA from 1 species